UGUUGGAAGAGCUGGAAGAAGGCCAGAAAGGAGUAGGCGACGGCACAGUUAGCUGGGGUCUGGAGGACGACGAGGACAUGACGCUCACAAGAUGGACAGGCAUGAUAAUUGGGCCUCCACGAGUAAGCGCCAAAGCUCCAACUAUAACUGUCAUUGUUCUUUAAAGCUGUGGUGGCCUUGUCGGCAGACACUCUCCAGUGGCGUUUUCUGAAGUGUGCUGUUCUUCCUCUGACCGGUUUCAGUUUAUUCAUUUGAACCCUUCUGGUGCAGUUUAAUCCUUUCCUUUGACAAUUUAUGAAAACCGAAUAUACAGCCUUAAGAUAGAGUGUGGGCCUAAGUAUCCAGAAGCACCCCCGUCUGUGAGAUUUGUAACAAGAGUCAAUAUGAGUGGCGUGAGCAGUUCCAAUGGAGUGGUGGAUCCACGAGCCACAGCAGUGCUGGCAAAGUGG
rnacentral:lncRNA from 1 species